AGUGAACGCUGGCGGUAGGCCUAACACAUGCAAGUCGAACGGCAGCACAGUAAGAGCUUGCUCUUACGGGUGGCGAGUGGCGGACGGGUGAGGAAUACAUCGGAAUCUACUUUUUUGUGGGGGAUAACGUAGGGAAACUUACGCUAAUACCGCAUACGACCUACGGGUGAAAGCAGGGGAUCUUCGGACCUUGCGCGAUUGAAUGAGCCGAUGUCGGAUUAGCUAGUUGGCGGGGUAAAGGCCCACCAAGGCGACGAUCCGUAGCUGGUCUGAGAGGAUGAUCAGCCACACUGGAACUGAGACACGGUCCAGACUCCUACGGGAGGCAGCAGUGGGGAAUAUUGGACAAUGGGCGCAAGCCUGAUCCAGCCAUACCGCGUGGGUGAAGAAGGCCUUCGGGUUGUAAAGCCCUUUUGUUGGGAAAGAAAAGCAGCAGGUUAAUACCCCGCUGUUCUGACGGUACCCAAAGAAUGAGCACCGGCUAACUUCGUG
rnacentral:rRNA from 1 species